AGAGGACCUUCUCACUUUGUGAUACCUUUUGGCUCAGCUUCCAAGACAUUGAAAAAGAAAGAAAAAGAAAAAAAGAUUGAUUUGGUGCCAUGUAUGUGUUUUUGGAAAAAUGAAGAUUCAUAUCUCAAGGAGGCACAUGGGAUGGAUGUGAAUGCGAUGACCUCGCCCUCUACUCAUCAAUAAAGAUUUUUCUGCAUCUUUCUCUCACUGAAAUGUUAUUCCUCUGGUUUGUAUUUCCAUAUGAAUCAACACUGUAAGGCUAUGGGACCAAGACAGACACAGCAGGAGCAAUUCUUUCCUUGUGUGCUUCCAUUUUUAAAGCUG
rnacentral:lncRNA from 1 species